UACGUAGGGUGCGAGCGUUGUCCGGAAUUAUUGGGCGUAAAGGGCUCGUAGGCGGUCCAUCGCGUCGGGAGUGAAAAGCUGGGGCUUAACCCCAGUCCUGCUUUCGAUACGGGUGGACUAGAGGUAGGCAGGGGAGAAUGGAAUUCCUGGUGUAGCGGUGAAAUGCGCAGAUAUCAGGAGGAAGACCAGUGGCGAAGGCGGGUCUCUGGACAGUUCCUGACACUGAGGCACGAAGGCCAGGGGAGCAAACGGG
rnacentral:rRNA from 1 species